GUCCAACCUUUGAACCGGCCUGUAAGACAGAAAAACACAAAGAAAGAGAUUUAAGGUAAGCAUGGUGUAUGUCUAUAAUCUAUACUGUCUUGUGUUGCUUUCACUGACCCUUCUUUUCUUUGCAGAUGCUCAUCCAGAUGUGUGCUACCUUUCCUGACUCUUUAUGUUUUGCUGGAGGAAAUUUCUGCUGCUGCUUUGCCAAGCAGAAACAAAAGGGACGUGAACAGGCUGGACCAUGAUCUGUUCCCUCGCCUGCCUGAUCGCUCAGACGACGGAGACCUCUCUGUGGGUGAUGCUGGGGAAAUGAGCAGGGAUUUGGACGUCCAUAAGUCUCGGUCAGAGACUUUUGUGGACCCAACAGAAAACUUUACCCAGCGUCAGAUCCACCAAUACCAGUACAACCGCAAGGCAAAUGAAAAGAGGAGGAAGGUUGCUCCUCUGGACUCCAUCGGCAGCUUUCAAAUGUCCAGUUCCAGAAACCGAAAGGAUGAACCGGAUGUAGACUGGGAAGAAUUCAGAGAAUAGAUAACAAGACAACAACUGAAUACUACACAUUUCCUCGGUGUUAAUCCUUGUUUCAUGUUCAUUAUAUUUAUUCAUGAACUCAUAUUUAACUCACUGCCGCUAACAAGUGAGAUGCCUGUUGACCUACUCCCUCUAGUGGUGGAAGAUAAACAUGACAAGCACUUCCUGUGUGCAACGUUUUCAAUAAAGGUUUCAAAAUAAA